rnacentral:rRNA from 1 species
UACGAAGGAUGCAAGCGUUAUCCGGAUUUAUUGGGUUUAAAGGGAGCGUAGGCGGUCUUGUAAGUCAGUGGUGAAAUCCUAUCGCUUAACGAUAGACGUGCCAUUGAUACUGUAGGACUUGAGUACAGAUGCCGUUGGCGGAAUGUGUCAUGUAGCGGUGAAAUGCAUAGAUAUGACACAGAACACCUAUUGCGAAGGCAGCUUACUACGCAGAUAUUGACGCUCAUGCACGAAAGCGUGGGGAUCAAACAGG